CGAAGAUAAGACGGAUUAGCGGCGACGGGUGAGUAACACGUGAGUAACCUGCCUUUACACAGGGAUAGCCUCGGGAAACCGGGAUUAAAACCUGAUGAAACUAUCAAAUCACAUGAUUAAGAAAGUUAAAACUCCGGUGGUAAAAGAUGGACUCGCGUCCCAUUAGCUAGUUGGUGAAGGUAACGGCCCACCAAGGCAACGAUGGGUAGCCGGCCUGAGAGGGUGAACGGCCACAUUGGAACUGAGAAACGGUCCAAACUCCUACGGGAGGCAGCAGAA
rnacentral:rRNA from 1 species